rnacentral:rRNA from 1 species
UGCCAGCCGCCGCGGUAAUACGGGAGUGGCAAGCGUUAUCCGGAAUUGUUGGGUUUAAAGGGCCCGCAGGCUGUUUGCUAAGUCAGGGGUGAAAUCCUACCGCUCAACGGUAGAACUGCCUUUGGUACUGGCAAACUUGAGUUAUUGUGAAGUAGUUAGAAUGUGUAGUGUAGCGGUGAAAUGCAUAGAUAUUACACAGAAUACCAAUUGCGAAGGCAGAUUACUAACAAUUAACUGACGCUGAGGGACGAAAGCGUGGGUAGCGAACAGGAUUAGAUA